AUCACAGCAGCGGGGAGUCUGGAAGGGACUGCAGAAGGCAUGGCCAGGGCUUUGGAAUGGUAUGACUGACCAGCAGAGAGACCUCCUCCCCUCCCGGGAUCCUCUAGGCACCCCUCCCCAAGUAGGAAUCUGUUAAGCAUGAGGUGUGUCCACAACCAGAAGAGAUCAUAGGAAUGAGGGAAGCAGUGAAGCCUGUUUCCCUGUCAAAGCCAGAGGGCCAGUGUGAUCCAGGAGGGAAGGCACUGGAAUGAGCAACAAGAGACCUGUUUUCGUCCUGGCCUCAUAACUGCUGUGCCACGUUGGGCCCACCUCUCCCUUUCUCUGAGCCUCAGAUGCCCCAUCUGCCAAAUCCUGGAUUGGGCCAGCUGCCCUCCCCAGGGACCUUUCAUCUGUUAUAUAAGGUGAUUCUGGAGCACCUUGCAUGUGGGCCUGUGACAAGAAAUGAACUGCCAUGUAGCACAGAAGGUGAAAUGAAUCAGAUAUUCAUGCAAGAAACUGGCCAACAGGCUCACCUGAGAGUCUCCACAGGGUCACGAGACAGUCUUGCUCUGUGGCCCAGGCUGGAGUGCAGUGGUGUCAUUACAGCUCACUGCAGCCUCAAACUUCUGGCCUCAAGCAGUCCUCCUGCCUCAGCCUUCCAGAGCACUGGGAUUACAGAUGUCGCUACCUAGAGGGAAUCUGUCUUUAUUUAUUGGCUCUUUCCUGUGCAGAAUGCAAGGGAGUCUCCCUCCGGCUGAGACCCCCGGGAAGGAGGCCACAUGUGGAGGUGACUUGAACCAGGACGGCAGGAACCUGGGGUCCCCGGGGGGCUCCGGACAGAGGUCAUGGUGGAAACCCUGGGAGGUGGGGUUGCCGUUAGGAUUUUCUCCUGGCCACGUGGCGCAUGUGUGGCUGAGCCUGGGACCGGACCCUUCCCUGCACACCGAGCUGCACUUCUACAGAGCUCUCAGCCUUGCUGCGGGAUCCAGCAGCCACCCCCUCCUGAGUACCCCAAUCCCCCUCCUCUGAACUCCUCUGUCCCACUCACAUGGGAGCAGCCACCUCAUCUUACAGAGGAAGGAACUGAGGGCAGAGGGGUGGCCCAACUUGGCCGGAGUCCGGCGGGGUGGGAGCAGCAGGGCUAGGCCUUGAAUGCAGGUCUCUGGAUUCCCGACAGGGUGCCCCUGGCCCAGCUGCCAGUCCCCCUUGCCUCUGCUGAGCCCAUCCUUGCAGGGCCCACCACCUGCCUCUCUGAGUCUGCAUCACAUCUCCUGGAGGGUAGAGAGCACCGCUAGCAUCUUUCUGGGGCCCUGGGCGUCCCGCGUGGCAAUGGGCAUACCAUGGUGCCCAGCAACCCUCAGCAGACAGAAUUAGCGACUGGCUUUAGAGACCGACCAUGUCUCCGAGAAGACUCUGAUGAACUGAGGGGGCGACUUGGCAGACUCAGGUUGGGGAGCUGAAGAGUCACCGUGCUACAGUGGAAAGAACCCUGGCCUGGGAGUCAGGGUUGAGUCCAUGCCUGGCUGGGCUAUACAUCAGUGAACCUGGAGAUGUGUCCCCUUCUCUGGGCUUCAGGUUCCCCAUGAGUCCAACAAGGGGCUGGAGGAACUCCCUGACCUCUGGUGCCCCUGCAGCUCUAGCAACCCAUGGCUUUAGGCACUACCAGUGUCCCCAGCAAGACCACGGACAGAGCCGAAAGUGGCAGUGCAUUACCCCUUGCUCCUGACAGAUCUGCGUCAGCCUCUCCAGCUGCUCGUCUUGGAUGACCUUGGCCUUCUCGUACUGCUGGAUAACCAUCUCCAUCUCCAGCUUCACUGGCAGGACGUAGGCUGGAAGACAGAGACAGCCCUGUAAAGAAUUCAGCAGUGGCAGGGCUUGGACUAGGGAAGGGCGGGCCCAGCAUUCAGGCAGCAGCAGGUUCGAGGCCCUGGGCCAUUUCUGUGGAUCUAGAAGGGGAAAUGUCCAGGUACCCGAGAGCAUCCAGAAAGUACAGAGGGCCACAGCCUUCGCUCAUGGUGUCCAGGGUAGCUGUUUUCCUGUUUUCCAUAGUGCUAGAACCCAUACUUUUGGGCUGUGUGCACAGCUGCCUGGAAUAAAGACUAUUUUCCAGCCUCCUUUGCAGCUAUGGGUGGCCACAAGACCACCUUCUGGACCAUAGGAUGCUAGUGGAGGUGGCAUGCAGCAGCUGCAGGAGCCUUCUUCACAAAGGAGCUGGGGCCAGUGAGGAUGGGGCGGCCCUGGAGCCUGCACACACUGGCGGAAAGGAAAACGGGGCAACCACUUAGGGAAACGGUUUGUCCGUUUUUCAGAGUGUUAAACAGAGAGUGACCAUAUGACCCAGAAACUCCAUUCCUAGGUACCUUAGGGGAAGGAAAACAUGUGUCUACACAAAACUCGCACAUGAGCAUUCAUAACAGCAUUAUUCCUAACAGUCAAAAAGUAGACAUAACCCAAAUGUUCAUCAGCCGAUGAAUGCGUGAAUAAACUGUGGUCUAGC
rnacentral:lncRNA from 1 species